AGCAGCUAUGAGCUCAGCCAGUACAUCGGUGGUGCUGAACUGAUGGAUUCAGAAUGGCUGUGGUUUAUUUGGUCAUUUGAUUUAGAUGCUGUACCCAUGGAGGUGGCUCCCCUGAAGUUCUGCAUCCCUCAUGUGGCAGUGAGUUUUGGGCCUUCAGGUCAGCUGGUGUGGGUCAGUCCAGCUCUUGCUUCUGAGGGUGAGCCUGCUCAAGUGGAACUCCACAGUCUGGAGGUAAUUCUCUGUGACACACAUGAACAGCAGGAUAUGAGAGAUUUUCCUGGACCACUGGCUAAGGAGGAUUUGCAUAAGGUGGAUGCCAUUAAUUUUGCCCUCCAAAUGUCAGAGAAAUGUCUGAAAGAUGAGAAAUUAGAAGAUGCCACUUCUGCUGCCCUCUUGUGGCAUCUACUAAUCUUGCUGUGCAGACAGAAUGGAAGAAUCAUGGGUUCAGAUGUUGCAGAACUGCUGAUGAGGGACUCCAGUUCUCUGGAAAAAGAGACCCUCAACUUUGCCGACCUCCUGACUGGAUAUCCACCAACUGACAAAGAGGCUGCAAAGCAAAACCUUCAGAGAUACACAAAACUAUUGCUGUCUGGCAGAAAGAAGGAGGCGCUAGAGUCAGCCAUGCAGAGUGGUCUUUGGGGUCAUGCUUUAUUUCUGGCUAGCAAAAUGGACAGCAGAUCCUACAACACAGUGCUGAGCAGGUUUACAGGGAGUCUGGCUUCUAGUGACCCUCUGCAAACCCUCUUCCAGCUGCUCUCUGGGAGGAUUCCAGCUUCCUGGAGUAGUGAGAAGUGGGGAGACUGGCGACCACACUUGGCUGUUUUGCUGUCCAAUGAGACAGGAGACCCCUUUAUACAUCACAGGUCCAUCAUCACCAUGGGUGAUACUCUAGCCUCAAGGGAUAUGCUGUAUGCCUCCCAGAUCUGCUACCUCACGGCUCAAUGUCCCUUUGGCUGGUACACAAACAGAUCAGAGCGCCUUGUGCUUCUGGGCAGCAAGCAAAGUGUUCUGUUUUCCAAGUUCUGUCACAACUCUGCCAUUCGCUGUACUGAACUCUUUGAGUACUGCCAGAGGCUUGGAAAUGCUGGAUUUAUAAUUCCUGCUUUUCAGGUGUAUAAAUUCCUAUAUGCAUGCCGGCUGCUGGACUGUGGUCUGGUUUCUCAGGCUUUCCACUACUGUGAGGUGGUGGCAAAAGCUCUGCUCAAGAUAGAGGAAGCCCAUGUGGUGUUGCAGGGAGAGCUUAUUAAAUUGGUGGACAGACUGAAGUUCUCCGAGUCACAGCUCAGUGACAUAGGUCAGCCUUUCCUGGAUCCCGACUGGCUGGUGCAGAUUCGCUGCAGACACCAGGCCAUGCUGGUAAACCCAAAGUUUGUACAGAGGGGAGCUACUGUACUGAAACAUAUCAGUCACCAGUUGGGGAGACAACUUGGAGUCAUGAGGAGAGCAACACGUGUUCAGGUUUAA
ensembl:lncRNA